CCGCUUCUGUCCUUUUCUCCCC
rnacentral:miRNA from 1 species